CCAUCUUUCAAAAUCAUCCUUACAGACAGGAAAUGGGGAUAAUGCUUGGAGCUGUCAAUGCAGGGACCAUUCACCAGUGCCUGGAAACCUUGCUGAAGUGACUGAAUUAUAUUCCUAUCAACAGAAAAGACUUUGGGAAGUGUGGCAGGUGAGGGUGAAGAACCUGCAGAAAGGCCUAUGUGAAAGUGCCCAUUAGAAUAAUCUGACAACUGUGCUGGAGAUCCACUAGGGCCAAAGAAGACCAUCUACUGCACUCCUGAGGUUUUUUU